rnacentral:rRNA from 1 species
GACGAACGCUGGCGGCGUGCUUAACACAUGCAAGUCGAACGGAAAGGCGCGGCGUUUGUGGGGUGCUCGAGAGGCGAACGGGUGAGUAAAACGCGAGUAAAAUGCCCCUGACAUAGGGAUAAAUUCUGGGAACUGGGGCGAAUACCGGAGAGGAGCUGCUGAUGCACGGGGGGGGAUGGAAAGAUUCGGCGGUUGGGUAUGGUCUAGAGGCUUAUGAGCUGGAUGGUGGGGUAGUGGCGUCCAAGGGCUUUGAAGGGUAGGCGGCGUGAGAGCCUGACCGGCCACAUUGGGACUGCGAUACGGCCCAGUCUCCUACGGGAGGCAGCAGUCGAGAAUAUUGCACAAUGGGCGGAAGCCUGAUACGACAACGCCGCGUGCGGGAUGACGGCCUUCGGGUUGUAAACCGAUUUCUACUGUGACGAAGCGUGAGUGACGGUAAUGGGUAAAGAAGCACCGGCUAACUACGUG